rnacentral:rRNA from 1 species
GUGCCAGCCGCCGCGGUAAUACGUAGGUGGCAAGCGUUGUCCGGAAUUAUUGGGCGUAAAGAGCAUGUAGGUGGGCUUUUAAGUCCGAUGUGAAAAUGCGGGGCUCAACCCCGUAUGGCAUUGGAUACUGGAAGUCUUGAGUGCAGGAGAGGAAAGGGGAAUUCCCAGUGUAGCGGUGAAAUGCGUAGAUAUUGGGAGGAACACCAGUGGCGAAGGCGCCUUUCUGGACUGUGUCUGACACUGAGAUGCGAAAGCUAGGGUAGCAAACGGGAUUAGAUACCCCGGUAGUCCUAGCCGUAAACGAUGGGUACUAGGUGUAGGGGGUAUCGACCCCCCCUGUGCCGGAGUUAACGCAAUAAGUACCCCGCCUGGGGACUACGGUCGCAAGACUGAAACUCAAAUGAAUUGACGG